CAACUUUCUUUCUCAUUUCCUUCAGUAAGGUUAAAGGGCUGGGGUGGGUGGAGGGAGGAGAUGAGCUCCACAGGCCAGAGCCCUGGAAUAUUGUUGAAAAUCUGCCAUUACCAUGGAGAGAUUCCAAGCGCUGAAGGUAAAGGUUAACUUUAAAUACAUCCAUGUCCAGGAGGAGCAUGGCAUAGGUUCUUACAACUGAAAUACAUGGGAAAAUAAAGCUGAGUUUCACUUCAGAAGAAAACGAUGCUGUUUUAGGGAUGCCAGAAGCGUAAGAUACUUUGAACACUAAAUUGUUUUCUCUAAUUAAUCCAGGUAAGGGUUUAUCCCCUCCCCAAAGCCAGCGAACAGCACACUUCUUCACAGUCAGAGAAUGCUGCUGAGAAAUGUGUCCAAGUAGAUUUCCAUAAAAAUAAAAUUUGAUCUUGAAAAUAGCAAUAAAACUGGCAUAUCAUGACUGGCUCAUUUGAUCAUGAUACUGCUUGGAAGGCAUUAAUUGAGAGAGAAUUGCCAUUAAACCAAGGGACACUUGUAGUUGAUCGUGGUAUAAAACCGCUUGGGUUUAGUGAUCAUCAUUUGUGGUGGGCAUGAUUCUAGACCAAGAGCAAAAGCUGAAGAGCAGCAGUCUCAAACCUGAAAUACUUGGGCAUGUUGAACCCUUCAUGGCCCCUGCUCACCUUUUGCACAUUCCCUCAGCCAGAAGCAUCAAGACCUUUCUUUUCCCGGUUGUACAUUUACGCACUACUUGGAAAGGAGCAGAGAAGCUGGAAAGAGCUUCCUAGGCUAUAGGAGCAUUCCAGGUUCAGUCAUUCUUUGUCGUGGAACUGAAUAGCGUUGCCAGUUCUGACAGCCAACUGCCGAAGAGAUGUACCUGGUGAUGGAAGGAGAGACACUGUGAUGGGCCCAUGGACUUGCAAUGUGAACUCGUGACAGCAGGUACUUGUAUCAGGUCCCGGUGGUCUGAGGUACCUGGGUAAGGCUUGGGUGCUGUGUGUUUGUUGGCCAUGGUUUUCUCUGGUGUCAAUGUAUUAAUUUCAGUGUUCACAGAAAUGUUUGUCUUUAUUUAUAGCCUAUCCAAGAGCUGGGCUGCAGCAGACAAGGUAAGAGCUUGGGAAGGUGGGGAUAUGAGAGCCAAGCCCUCAGUAGUUAAUCUGGCCUGGUUCUUUCUCAUCUAAUCCCUCAAGUUUUAUGGACAGAUGUUGGAUUGAUCAAGUGGCUGCUGAAACCAUAGCAAAAUGGCAAGAAAUGGGGCCUUUCCAGCCCUGACCGUUCUCGGGGUCUAUGGUUUUAGCAUUGGAGAGGCAAAGAGACCGGUUUGAGACUUAGAUCUUUAACCCUUCCUGAAGUGUUGCUUCUUUCUGUCCUGUGAGUUGCAGCCCCAGAUGAAAGUCACCCAUCUGUUCAGGGAGCUGGUACCUCGGUGUCUGCAUUGAGAAUCACUGUGUGUGUAGUGCUUGUUGCUAGAAACCAUUGAGUUGCUUGGGCUCAUCCCUUUGCUGUGAGUUCAGCUGAGUGUUGCUCUCUGCUGUAUGGGGGGAGGACACUGCUGGUUGUUACCAGCUGUGCUUUAAAGACAGGAAUUCCUGUUGCUGGUAAAGUUUAGGUCACAUCUCUUCUGAAAUCACUGUCUUUAUUCUCUGGUUUGGGUUAUGAAGGCCUUGCCUGUGGCUCUUGUUUCAACAGGUAAGUCUGGAUUGCUUCCUUAGGUAACCAAGCAGACAGUCUCAGUUAGGCUUUGCUAGGUAGAACUGUGUGUAGAGUGCAAAGUUUUAUUGUUUAUGAAUGAAAACAGGUAAUGUAAAACCUGAAACCUAGCUUACCUUGAAUUAAAGCAAAUAAAAUCUUAGGAGAUGCAGUAUCUUAAUGGCACAGCUUGGAAGAAUGAUGUAGGGAUUCCCGAGCACGAGUCUUGUUUUAAUGGCCAUUACGUCUCUGCUCUUGCAGCUCAACACACCGGGGAUGAGCUGUCCUCGAGAAGAACCCCUGCAUCUGCCUCUCAUGGCAAGUGGUCCAGGCAGUGACAUGCCCAUGUUAGCAGUUCCAGGUGGGUGUGUUACGUGUAUUUGAAGUCUUCUCUCUUGUCCUCUGCAGUGUACUAGAACCUACACGUGCUCUAUAUAACUCGUUUCCUACCCGCUCCCCUUGUAACGUCCAGUUUUCCUAAUAAACAUCUUUUGAAGUCA